rnacentral:lncRNA from 10 species
AGCUGGGACUACAGGCGCCCGCUACCACGCCCGGCAAAUUUUUUGUAUAUUUAGUAGAGACGGGGUUUCACCGUGUUAACCAGGAUGGUCUCGACCUCUUGACCUCGUGAUCCGCCCGCCUAGGCCUCCCAAAGUGCUGGGAUUACAGUCGUGAGCCACCGCGCCGGGCCUGGAAUUCUUGAUGCUUUAAACAAAACUUAACAUCUUGCCUGACAUGUUUUUGUAGCCCAACAGGAUAACUAAAACGCCAGCAUUAAAACUCAGUCCCUGGCAAGAUGUUGUCUGUGAUCUCCUUCAUCUUCACGACAAGAUCAUCUAGGGUUGUAUGCUGAGGUUAGCAGCAGAGUCUCAGUGGAGUCGACCCUGCAGAUUAAUCUUCAGUAUCUAUGAGUGCUGGGUGAUUUGCGGAAACUGCAGCUGCUUUGUCAAUAUCAGCUUGGCCUCCAUUGAUCAAACCCUCAUUUAGGCGUUCACUGCCGUCUGCUGGAAACAGCCCAGGGAUGAGGAGGGAAGGGAAAAGGCCACUUCGGGAGGCCACCUUGCCUUGGAGUUUCCGUCGUUUUCCGAGAUAAAAGUGAUGCAUCUUCAUUUUGUCGGAGGAGUUAAUUUUGUGUGUAUUCCAAGCAACAGCAGAGACCUGCAGAUGAGAACACCUUUAUGAAGAACAAGACCAUGCUUUGAAGUUGGGCAGAGAUCUUGGUUCAAAUCCUGGCUCUGCUGCUUGUUAGCUAAGUCACUUCAGGGCUUGUUUCUGAGAGUGUGCACGGAGAUUGAAGGGCAGGGGCUCAUGUGACAGUGUGAAGCAGGAAUUCUGACCGUUGGCCAAACCAAGCCCUGAAACUCAAGUUCUGUUUGGGAGUGAGAGGCAGGUUAGAGGAGAUAAACACCCAGCCUUUUAAUUUUUUUUUUCCAGCCUGCUUUAAAUCACCUGUAAAUCUUUAGUGGCCACCAGGAGGUGAAUGACUCAUGCUACCUUUUCUCAGCAAAGGCUCUUCAGGAUGGGACACUCCAAGUUUUUAACUCCCAGCAACAGUUCGGCUCACAGCGAGACCGGGCCCUCUGCUGUCACUGAAGUGUGUGUUUGUUUAAUUAGGGCGCCGAGUAGAGCCUCAUCCUGGUGGCAGAUGUUGCCAUGUGUAGUAUAAUAAAUAAAAGUCUUUAUAGGAC